GUAUUCUAAGGCGCUUGAGAGAACUCUGGAGAAGGAACUCGGCAAAUUGACACCGUAACUUCGGAAGAAGGUGUGCCUUUAGUAGGUGUAGUUGUACAAACGAAGCCCAAUGAGGCCGCAGAGAAUCGGUGGCUGCAACUGUUUAUUAAAAACACAGCACUCUGCAAAGACGAAAGUCGACGUAUAGGGUGUGACUCCUGCCCGGUGCUGGAAGAUUAAAUGAUGGGGUGCAAGCUCUUGACUGAAGUCCCAGUAAACGGCGGCCGUAAC
rnacentral:rRNA from 1 species